CCUACGGGAGGCAGCAGUGGGGAAUAUUGGGCAAUGGGCGCAAGCCUGACCCAGCAACGCCGCGUGAAGGAUGAAGGUUUUCGGAUUGUAAACUUCUGUCGCGAGGGACGAAGAAUGACGGUACCUCGUAAGAAAGCCCCGGCUAACUACGUGCCAGCAGCCGCGGUAAUACGUAGGGGGCAAGCGUUGUCCGGAAUGACUGGGCGUAAAGGGAGUGUAGGCGGCUUAUCAAGUUAGAUGUGAAAUCCCGCGGCUUAACCGCGGAACUGCAUCUAAAACUGGUCAGCUGGAGUGCAGGAGAGGUGAGUGGAAUUCCUAGUGUAGCGGUGGAAUGCGUAGAUAUCACGCAGAACUCCGAUUGCGAAGGCAGCUUACUAAGCCAUAACUGACACUGAAGCACGAAAGCGUGGGGAUCAAACAGGAUUAGAUACCCGUGUAGUC
rnacentral:rRNA from 1 species